rfam:Brachypodium distachyon strain Bd21 chromosome 2, whole genome shotgun sequence.
AUGGUACUCCCUCUGUUCCAUAUUAAGUGACGAAAUAUUACAUGUAUCUAGACGCCUUUUGAGUAUAGAUACAUCUAUAUUUGAGUAAAUUUGAGUCAUUUAAUAUGGGACAGAGGAAGUACAAA